rnacentral:rRNA from 1 species
UACGGAGGAUGCGAGCGUUAUCCGGAUUUAUUGGGUUUAAAGGGUGCGUAGGCGGUUUAUUAAGUCUGGUGUAAAAGGCAGUGGCUCAACCAUUGUAUGCAUUGGAAACUGGUAGACUUGAGUGCAGGAGAGGAGAGUGGAAUUCCAUGUGUAGCGGUGAAAUGCGUAGAUAUAUGGAGGAACACCGGUGGCGAAAGCGGCUCUCUGGCCUGUAACUGACACUGAGGCACGAAAGCGUGGGGAGCAAACAGG